rnacentral:tRNA from 1 species
ACUUUAAGUAGUUUAUUUAAAAUAGCGAUUUGUGGUGUCGUUGAUGUAGUUUUACUGCCUUAGGUG